UAUAUGAAACGUGACUGUUUAUAAUCCUAUCCAAAAAAGAACUGAUUUCAAGCAACAGCAGUAUUACUUCCAUUCAAUACUUGGACCUGCAAACAUCAAAAAAGCCACUGGAGAAACUGAACGACUCUCUGAAAGCCUUAAACUAAGAUAUGAAGAAGUUGAAAUCUGGAAAAAACUUGAGGAAAAGGACAGGCAGGGGGAAGCACAGUGGCUACAACAAAAAAGGCAGGAAACAGGAAGAGAGGAUGGCAGCAUGUUGGCUAAAGGUUCUUUGGAGAUUGUAUUGGAUUCCAAAGACAAAACCCAAAAGAGCAAUGGUGAAAAGAAUGAAAAAUGUGAGACCAAAGAGAAAGGAGCAAUCACAGCAAAGGAACUAUACACAAUGAUGAUGGAUAAAAACAUCAGCUUGAUUAUAAUGGAUGCUCAAAGAAUGCAGGAUUAUCAGGAUUCCUGUAUUUUACAUUCUCUCAGUGUUCCUGAAAAAGCCAUCAGUCCAGGAGUCACUGCUAGCUGGAUUGAAGCACACCUCCCAGAUGAUUCUAUAGAUACAUGGAAGAAGAGGGGGAAUGUGGAGUAUAUGGUACUUCUUGACUGGUUUAGUUCUGCAAAAGAUUUACAGAUUGGAACAACACUCUGGCAUCUGAAAGAUGCACUUUUCAAGUGGGAAAGUAAAACUGUCCUGUGCAAUGGGCCUUGGGCCUUUGGUUUUAGAGGGAGGCUAUAAAAACUGGUUCCUUUGCUAUUCCCAGUAUACAACAAAUGCUAAGGUCACUCCACCCCCACAACACCAGAAUGAAGAGUUGUCUAUCUCAUUGGAUUUUACUUAUCCCUCAUUGGAAGAAUCAAUUCCUUCUAAACCUGCUGCCGAGAUGCCACCUCCACCUAUAAAAGUGGAUGAAGACAUAGAAUUGAUAAGUGAUCAAAUAAGUGAUAAUGAUCAAAAUGAGAGGACAGGACCACUGAAUAUAUCAAUUCCAGUUGAAUCAGUUGCUGCUUCUAAAUCUGAUGUUUCACCCAUCAUUCAGCCAGUGCCUAGCAUAAAGAAUGUUCCACAGAUUGAUCAUACUAAAAAACUGGCAGUCAAAUUGCCUGAAGAGCAUAUAAUCAAAUCUGAAAGUACAAAUCAUGAGCAACAGUCUCCUCAGAAUGAAAAAGUUAUUCCUGAUUGUUCCACCAAGCCAGUAGUUUCCUCUCCAACUCUCAUGUUAACAGAUGAAGAAAAGGCUCAUAUUCAUGCAGAAACUGCUCUUCUAAUGGAGAAAAACAAACAAGAAAAAGAACUUCAGGAAAGACAGCAAGGGAAACAGAAAGAAACUGAGGAGGGAAGAACACGAGCAAAAAGCCAAAAAGAAACAAGAAGCUGAAGAAAAUGAAAUUACACAGAAGCAACAAAAAGCAAAAGAAGAAAUGGAGAAGAAAGAACGUGAACAGGCCAAGAAAGAGGAUAAAGAAAUCUCAGCAAAGAAGGGCAAAGAAAUAACAAGAGUAAAAAGACAAAGUAAAAGUGAUCAUGAAACCUCUGGUGCCGAGAAGUCUGUAGAGGACAGGGGGAGAAGAUGUUCAACCCCAGAAGUACAGAAAAAGUCAACAAGAGAUGUGUCCCAUACAUCUGCGACAGGGGAUUCAGGUUCAGGCAAGCCUUUUAAGAUUAAAGGACAACCAGAAACUGGAAUUCUAAGGACAGAAACUUUUAGAGAGGAUACAGAUGAUACUUAAAGAAAUAAAACUCAACGAGAACCUUCGAUAAUAGCACGAAGUGAAGAAAUGGGGAGGAUGGUACCAGGACUGCCUUCAGGCUGGGCCAAGUUUCUUGAUCCAAUCACUGGAACGUUUCAUUAUUAUCAUUCACCACUAACACUGUUCAUAUGUACCCACUGGAAAUGGCUCCUUCAUCUGCACCUCCUUCCACCCCUCCAACUCAUAAAGGCAAGCCACAGAUUCCUGCUAAGCAGGAUAGGGAACCUUCCAAACUGAAAUGCUCUUACUCCUCCCCAGAUAUAACCCAGGCUAUUCAAGAGGAAGCCAGCAGUAACUCCAACAGUUAAUCAGGAAGACAAGCCAACAUGCUACCCUAAAGCUGAGAUCUCAAGGCUUUCUGCUUCUCAGAUUUGGAAACUCAAUCCUGUUUUUGGAGGUUCUGGACCAGCUCUUACUGGACUUCGUAACUUAGGAAAUACUUGUUAUAUGAACUCAAUAUUGCAGUGCCUAUGUAAUCCUCCACAUUUGGCUGAUUAUUUCAACCGAAACUGUUAUCAGGAUGAUAUUAACAAGUCAAAUUUGUUAGGGGCAUAAAGGUGAAGUGGCAGAAGAAUUUGGUAUAAUCAUGAAAGCCCCGUGGACAGGACAGUAUAGAUAUAUCAGUCCAAAAGACCUUAAAGUCACCAUUGGGAAGAUCAAUUACCAGUUUGCAGGAUACAGUCAAGAUUCACAAGAAUUUCUUCUGUUCCUAAUGGAUGGUCUCCAUGAAGAUCUAAAUAAAACUGAUAAUCGGAAGACAUAUAAAGAAGAAAAUAAUGAUCAUCUCAAUGACUUUAAAGCUGCAGAACAUGCCUGGCAGAAACACAAGCGGCUCUAUGAGUCUAUUAUUGUUGCACUUUUUCAGGGUCAAUUCAAAUCUACAGUACAGUGCCUCACCCGUCACAAAAAGUCUAGGACACUUGAGGCCUUCAUGUAUUUGUCUCUACUGAUAGCAUCCACAAGUAAAUGUACAUUAUAGGAUUGCCUUAGAUUAUUUUCUAAAGAAGAAAAACUCAUAGAUAAUAACAGAUUUUACUGCAAUCUUUGCAGAGCUCGACGGGAUUCUUAAAAAAGAAAUCUGGAAGUUACCACCUGUGCUUUUAGUGCAUCUGAAACAUUUUUCCUACAAUGGCAGGUGGAAACAAAAAUUACAGACAUCUGUGGACUUCCCGUUAGAAAAUCUUGCCUUGUCACAGUAUGUUAUUGGUCCAAAGAACAAUUUGAAGAAAUAUAAUUUGUUUUCUGUUUCAGAUCACUGCGGUGGGCUGGAUGGAGGCCAUUACACAGCCUACUGUAAAAAUGCAGCAAAACAGCGGUGGUUUAAGUUUGAUGAUCAUGAAGUUUCUGAUAUCUCUGUUUCUUCUGUGAAAUCUUCAGCAGCUUAUAUCCUCUUUUAUACUUCUUUGGGACCAUGAGUAACUGAUGUAGGCACAUAA
rnacentral:lncRNA from 1 species